GAUGAACGCUGGCGGCGUGCCUAAUACAUGCAAGUCGAGCGAACAGACGAGGAGCUUGCUCCUCUGACGUUAGCGGCGGACGGGUGAGUAACACGUGGAUAACCUACCUAUAAGACUGGGAUAACUUCGGGAAACCGGAGCUAAUACCGGAUAAUAUAUUGAACCGCAUGGUUCAAUAGUGAAAGACGGUUUUGCUGUCACUUAUAGAUGGAUCCGCGCCGCAUUAGCUAGUUGGUAAGGUAACGGCUUACCAAGGCAACGAUGCGUAGCCGACCUGAGAGGGGGAUCGGCCACACUGGAACUGAGACACGGUCCAGACCCCUACGGGAGGCAGCAGUAGGGAAUCUUCCGCAAUGGGCGAAAGCUUGACGGAGCAACGCCGCGUGAGUGAUGAAGGUCUUCGGAUCGGAAAACUCUGUUAUUAGGGAAGAACAAAUGUGUAAGUAACUAUGCACGUCUUGACGGUACCUAAUCAGAAAGCCACGGCUAACUACGUG
rnacentral:rRNA from 1 species